AAAUUAUGUUCAUGGCAAUUUCUUAGUAAUCCCCUGUAGCGCUCCCAAGCUUCAUAUAACGACUACCCAUCAUUUUGUUGGAAAUUCAUGAUGUUCUUCUUCAAUUU